rnacentral:lncRNA from 1 species
AAGGGAUGGGGGGCACAGGAAAAACUACAAUGGCCAAAGAAGUGGGGAAGGAACUUAAGCAAUUCAAACAAUUUACUUACGUCAUCGAUACAACAGUGUCAUUGUCUCCUGAUAUCAGAAAGAUUCAAGAUGAUAUCGCUGGACCCUUGGGAUUGAAAUUUGACGACUGUGGUGAAUCAGACCGACCCAAAAAACUAUGGAGCAGAUUAACCAAUAGAGGUAAGAUUGAUCAGAACGAGGAAAAGAAGAUUCUUCUAAUAUUGGAUGAUGUGUGGGAUGUUAUCGAUUUUGAUAAAAUAGGGAUUCCUGACAAUCACAAAGACUGUAGAAUUCUUGUAACCACGCGCAAUCUCUAUGUCUGCAACAGAUUAGGAUGCAAUAAGACAAUCCAACUGGAGGUCUUAUCUGAUGAAGAAGCAUGGACCAUGUUCCAAAGGCAUGCUGGUCUAAAAGAAAUGUCACCUGCAAGUUUGCUCGACAAGGGCCGCAAAAUUGCAAAUGAAUGCAAAGGAUUACCGGUUGCAAUUGUUGUUAUCGCCAGUAGUUUGAAGGGCAUACAAAAUCCGAAAGUGUGGGAUGGAGCCUUAAAAUCCUUGCAAAAACCCAUGCACGGUGUUGAUGAGGAAGUUGUUAAAAUUUAUAAAUGCUUGCAUGUUAGCUAUGAUAAUAUGAAGAAUGAGAAUGCCAUGAGACUAUUCCUCUUGUGUUCUGUAUUUCGAGAAGAUGAAAAAAUUUAUACCAAAAGGUUAACCAGACUUGGCAUCGGAGGAGGCCUUUUUGGGGACGAUUUUGACAGCUAUGAUGAUGCUCGAAACCAAGUUGUUAUAUCCACAAAUAAACUCCUAGAAUUUUGUUUAUUGUUGGAGGCCGGUCGAGAUCAAAGCAUCCUGAGAAUGCAUGACUUGGUUCGUGAUGCUGCCCAAUGGACGAGCAGAGAGUUUCAAAGAGUAAAGUUAUAUGAUAAAUAUCAAAAAGCAAGGGUUGAAAGGGAGAUGAAUAUUAAAUAUUUAUUAUGUGAAGGCAAGCCUAAGGAUGUGUUUUCCUUUAAGCUUGAUGGUUCCAAGCUUGAGAUUCUAAUUGUCAUUAUGCAUAAGGAUGAAGAUUGUCAGAAUGUGAAAAUCGAAGUCCCGAACUCAUUCUUUGAAAAUAUUACGGGCCUUCGAGUUUUUCAUCUAAUAUAUGACCAUUAUCCUAAUAUAUCUCUAUCAUUACCUCACUCAGUUCAGUCGAUGAAAAAUAUUCGAUCUCUUCUCUUUGAGCGUGUCAAUUUGGGUGACAUCUCUAUUUUGGGAAACCUGCAAAGCCUUGAGACUCUUGAUUUGGAUGAUUGUAAAAUUGAUGAAUUGCCUCAUGGAAUCGCAAAACUAGAGAAACUGAAAUUAUUGAACUUGAAUAAUUGAAGAAUUGCAAGGAAUAAUCCUUUUGAAGUGAUUGAAGGAUGCUCAUCACUUGAAGAGUUGUAUUUCACAGGUAGCUUUAAUGAUUUUUGCAAAGAAAUAACUUUCCCUAAACUACGAAGGUUUAAUAUUGAUGAAUAUUCAAGUUCAGUGGACGAAUCAUCAUCAAAGUGUGUGUCUGUUUUAUUCAAAGAUAAGUUUUUCCUAACUGAAAGAACACUCAAGUAUUGUAUGCAAGAAGCAGAGGUUCUUGCACUAAGAAGAAUCGAGGGGGAAUGGAAAAACAUCAUACCUGAGAUUGUUCCCAUGGAUCAAGGUAUGAAUGAUAUAGUUGAGCUUCGUUUGGGAUCCAUUUCACAAUUACAGUGCCUCAUUGACACUAAGCACACUGAAUCUCAAGUGUCAAAAGUCUUCUCCAAGUUGGUUGUACUAGAACUUUGGAACCAAGAUAAUUUGGAAGAAUUGUUCAAUGGUCCUCUUUCCUUUGACUCUCUGAAAAGUUUAAAGGAGUUGUCCAUCAGUGAUUGUAAACAUUUGAAAAGCUUAUUUAAGUGCAACCUAAACCUAUUCAAUCUAAAGAGUGUGUUAUUGAAAGGAUGCCCGAUGUUGAUCUCCCUAUUACAACUGUCAACUGCUGUUAGCCUAGUGUUGUUGGAGACGCUGGAAAUAAUUGACUGUGAGCUUCUUGAAAACAUAAUAAUAGAUGAAAGAAAAGGGCAGGAAUCGAGAGGUGAAAUAGUCGAUGAUAAUGAUAACACAAGUCAUGGCUCAAUGUUUCAGAAAUUGAAAGUUCUUAGUAUUAAGAAGUGUCCAAGAAUCGAAUUAAUACUUCCGUUUCACUCUCCUCAUGAUCUUCCAACACUAGAAUCCAUCACAAUUAAAAGUUGUGAUAAGCUGCAGUACAUAUUUGGCAAAGAUGUCAAACUUGGUUCCCUCAAAAAAAUGAUGCUUGAUGGCAUACCGAAUUUGAUCCAUAUUUUCCCAGAAUGUAACCGUACCAUGGCUUCGCCCAUUAAGAAGACAUCUUCCAAGCCAGAAGAUCAAUCAAAGUCAAUCAAAUGCAAUAUGUUUUCAUGGACUGAUAUAUAUUGUUGUGGUAAAAAAUAUGGUAACACAAGUACUAAAAUCCCAUUGGUUUCUGAGUCUAAGGAUCAACAACAGGACAACUUAAUGGUAACCCUCUCACUUUAUAUUCCAUGAUAUUUUUUAUAUUUUUUUUUAUAGGAAACUGUUGGUACAUUUUAUUAUUUGAAAAAACUAUUUUUUUAAGGAAAACAAAACUACUAAUAUAAUAGCAAAUUACUAAAUACCAAAAAGUGUUCACUUUUUUUUGUGGUGUCCGGGAUUCAAACCCCAGACCUUGCAUAUAUUAUGCAUUGUCCUUACCAUUUGAACUAAGCUCACGAGGACCAAAAAAGUGUUCACUAAUACAAUAUAAUAAUGUACCCAUUUUUUCGUAUCAAUUAAUAGUAUAACAAGUAUAAUAUUAUUUCAAGUAUUUAAGAGCAUCUCCAAUGGGAGGUUCUUACUUAACAAGGAUCACUCCCUAUUAAAGACCCCCCAUUGGAGGAAGAAAAAAUGAGUUCUUAUUAAGGAACGGGUCACUAUAUAAAGACUCUUUCUCUCCUAAGCAACUAAUGGGUUCCACGUUUAAAAUAAAUAAUAAUAUAUGUAUUACUUGGUCCCACUUGCAAAAGAAAUAAUAUUUUAAGAAUUGGUCCCACUUGCAAUAUAAAUAAUUUUUUUCUUUUAAUGAUGUAAAGUUAGUGAGACUUAUUUAAGUAAUUUUUAUGGGAGUCCUUGUUAGUGUAUUACCAUUGGAGUCAUCGGGUCUUUAAUAGAUACUUUUAUUAAAAAAAUUAUAAAUAAGUGAUGUGUACAUGCGGGAUCCAUUUAAGGAGUCCCUAUUAAAGAUUACCAUUGUAGAUGCUCUAAUAGCUUUGGUGCAUUAAGUUAAUUAUAGAUAAAUGUAAGUCGGUCUGUAAAUUAAAUAUCAAUGUUAAUUUAAUUAAAUAAUGUAGUACUUUCUUUUGGUUACAUUCUAAUAUAAUAAUUUAUAAUCCAUAGCCAUUUGUUGCAGGAAUUGAGUGGGAAUGUGGACCAUUUUCUCUCUUUGGAGAGACUCAUAGUAAAGAAUAACUCCAAAGUAGAAAGUAUCAUUUGUAUAAAUGAAAUAAAUGAACAGCAAAUGAACUUAGCUUUGAAAGACAUUGAUUUGGAUGUUUUGCCUGCGAUGACAUGCCUUUUUGUGGGUCCAAAAAAUUUGUUUUUCCUCCAAAACCUUACCCAUUUAAAGAUCAUGCGAUGUGAAAAAUUGAAAAUUGUUUUCUCCACUUCUAUAAUAAGGUAUCUACCACAGUUGCUUAUCUUGAGAAUUGAAGAAUGCAAAGAAUUGAAGCAUAUAAUUGAAGAUGAUUUGGAGAAUAAAAAAUCCUCAAAUUUUAUGUCCACAACAAAGACAUGCUUCCCAAAGUUAAAAAUGGUUGUUGUAGUAAAGUGCAACAAGUUGAAAUAUGUCUUUCCAAUCUCCGUAUGUAAAGAGCUUCCUGAGCUAUAUUAUCUGAUCAUAAGAGAAGCAGACGAGUUAGAGGAAAUAUUUGUAAGUGAAGGUGAUGAUCACAAAGUGGAGAUUCCAAAUCUGAAAGUUGUAAUAUUUGAAAAUCUACCAAGCCUCAAUCAUGCCCAGGGAAUUCAAUUUCAAGAUGUAAAACAUCGUUUCAUACAGAAUUGUCAAAAACUCUCUCUGACUUCAGCAAUAACCGCAGACUUUAAAAAGGAUCUUUCCGGUUUAUAUAUUAACAUCUACGGUAACAUCUACGGUACACACUUCUUCAAAAAAAACAUCUACAGUACACAUUCUAUCCAAUAUUUUUUUAAAUUAUUACAUGUUGGCAGGGCCGUCCCUGUGAAAUAGGAGGCUCGGCUCUCUUUUUAAAAUAGGCCCCUAGUAAAAUAAAAUAUAAUUUUUUUUUGUGUAGCUAAAUUUCAUUAAAAGAAAUCAAAAUCAGAAGAACUUCUAAACAUGAAAGGAAUUAAAAAAAAUUAAGUGAAAGAGGUGAAAUUUAUCUAACGGCGUCGUUUGAACUUGUCACUCCUCUGUUGUGGAAAAUGGUAAAACGAAUGGUUUAUGCGAAGAAAAAAUGAUUGUUGUGAUUCUUUCAAUGAAAUAGCUUUCCAAAUUGACUGAUUAAGUGAUUAUACAAAUUAAGGGUGAUUUGAUAGGAUCUGAUUUAUGUACAAAAAGGAGAACUAGAGUCUAGAAAAAAUCUCAAAUGUGUACUAAAGAAAGAAAAUGAUAUAACAUAUAUAUUUUUUAGUUAAAUGGGGGGUGGGUAUUAUAUUUAAUUUUUCGUUAAAGGCCCGUAACAUUUGAAGGCCCGAUCUGGUUGAGCACCUUGCACACCCUCAAAGCCUGGCCUACAUGUUGGUUGUAAAAUAUUACAUACCAUUUGUUUAAAGGAUAUAUAAACAACUGAAUCUUCUAAAGUAGCGAUAUAAGGUAUGCUGUGUGCAUGCAUAAGUAUUUCUAAAAUGUAAGGGCUCAUGUAGUGACCUAUCUAAUAUAAGCUUUAAUUUUAUGUAAAAUUUAAUUAUUAUAUAGAUAGAUAAACAAUGGGCUUAAAUGCACUUUUCAUCGCCUAAUUGUUUACAAAAAUAGCGAUUUUGACCCUUUUUAAAAAAAUGGCAAAAGUGAUCCAUGUUUACCCCUUUUGCAAACCUCAAUUCUGACUUUGUCAACCGUAGGUGGCCUGUGUAUUUUUUUUUUUAUUUUUUUUUAUUUUUUUUAAUUGGCAAUUCCACGCGUUUAUUAAAUGAAAUUAAAAAAAAACAGAUUGGAAGAAAAAUAGAGAAGGCACGUGCAAGCUCUCAUCAAUUAUUUCUCUUCAUCAAUUUUUCAUGUGUUCUUCCCCAAAACUUUGAUCUUCAUGUUUAUGUGUUCUUCCCCGAAAUCCAAAUCUAAAAAACAACUUACCAUCAUCAAUUGUUUGGUCCUAAAAAAAAUCAUUCUCGUUAAUAUUAGAAUAUAGUGAGAAUAAACUAGAGUUACUUAGUGGUAACUAUAGUAGAAAGUUAGUUAGAGAGUUAGUUACUCCAAGUCACUAUAAAUAAGCUACACCUAUGUACUAUUUCACCAUCUUUUAUUCAAUUGCAUCUUUGUGAUGACUCCUAGAGAGAACUACACAAUUUACCUUUCCAUUGCAUUUGAUCUAGAACCAUGGAAUCCUUUGAUUCAUAACAAUUAACACUCAAAUAUUCAAACUCGUGACUUUCAUCACAAAUUUAUUAACUUGCCAACAACCUUGAGAAAAACUACCAUAGUCUCCGAGGUUCAUCUACGAACAUGAGAACGAAAUUUGGAAAAACAACCAUCUCCAACCCAAACCCAACAUACAAACACAUAUCUGUUCCCAAAACCUUGAAAUACAACCUUCAAUUGAAACUCAUAAAAUUAAAUAGAUAAAAAACUGGGAAAAAAAAAAAGUGGAAUCAAUUUGAUGGGUUGAAGUUUUGUGUUUGAAACUAGAAGAUGAUUCAUAAUGGAUCUGCGAAAAAAAUUAAAUUAGAACAAGGAGAGUGGAAUUUUUAUGUUUGAAUUCAUUUGGUUUGAUUAUCAUUGGGUGAUGCUUCAGCUUCUGUGGAUUGUCGUGGUGCUAAUGGUGGUGGUGAUGGUGAUGAGAAGAAAAAGAAGAAGGUUGUUGGAUAGUUCUUCGUGCAAAAGGGGGUAAACAUGGGGUUACUUUUGCCAUUUUUUUGAAAAGGAGUCAAAAUUGUUAUUUUUGCAAACUUACGGGUUAAAUAGUGCGUUUAAGCCUAAACAAUAUUGUGCAUCUUUAAACAUAAAAAUGAUGAUUUUAUUAUUCUCUAUAUAAUGAUGUUAAUCUCUAUAUUAUUUCGCUGUAGAUCCUGAAUUGUGUAAGUAUUUCGUGUUUCUGUUUGUACAACAAUUAAAAAAAAAGACCAAAGGCAACAAUAGUCGUAAUGAAAAUCCAGAAACCUCAAAAAAAAUUGCCGUUGGGGUUGAAGUUAAAGCAUCAUCAGAACAUGGGCUGACUUCUCCAAAGGUCAAUACCAAUCUAUUGAUUCAAGCUUACCACACCAGAAUUUUAAUGGAUGUAAUUACUAAUUAAUAGCUUAAGAUCAUUAAUGCUUAUGUUCUUGUUACAGGAGUUGAUGAAUGAACAAUCAAUGGACCAACAACGUUCACUUGGAGAAACUGAUACUUCCGUCAAACCUUCUCAGGUAAAUCGUGUAAAAACCAAGAUUACAAAAGAAUGAGCCACCUAUACAAUUAAUUACACCUAUUGGACCCACCACCAUUUAUAUCCGUAAAUUACUCUUUAGCACUAUCACAAUCACUCUUUUAUGCAAGUGUCAUUGGUUGAGCAACACUUAAGUGUUGUUCUCCUACCCAUCGGCAAUUAAAUGUUGUUAGAUCGGUUCAAUCACUUUUUAAAUCGGUUAAAAAGUAUCUGAAUGACAGUUAACUACCGUUAGGGGGUAAAUGAAUAAUUUUGGAGCCUGAUAGCAAUUUUAGAAGCCUAAAGAGCAAUUGUCUUUAUAUCCUUGCACCAAGUCCAACAUUUUAUGAAUUUGUUUUAGGUCCAACCAAGAUUUUAAAAAAGCUAAAAGUGAAAUACUAAAAGAAAAAGAUUUUAUUUCAAGUGCUUCUUAUAAAUAUAUGGAUUGUGGAACUAACUAAUUUACAUUUUUAUGAUAUGCAAUUAGUUGGAGGGUUCUACUACAUCAGAAAAAAAAUGUAGCAAAAACGUGUUCCACCAAUUCACCAACAAAAAAUGAGCCACCUAUACAAGUAGUUACUCCUUCUUAGUAUUCAUUUUGACACUUUGUCAAUGCAGGAGUUGAAUUAUACUACAAUCUUAAAAAUCUUUUAAAUUUUAAGCAGGUUAGUGAAAUAAGUGUUGAAGAAGGAACUACAUCAGCUAAUGCCAAGAGAACAACAGCAUCAUCACAAGUGAGUUUAUUUUAUUUAACAUAGCCUUCAUAUUAACUUGGUCUUUUUAUUAUUAUUAUUAUUAUUAUUAUUAUUCAAUUUUCAUGGAAUUGGAUUUGUAAGAAUCAAGCUCGAAGCUAAUUUCGAUAUAUCGAGAAGAAAAAAAAUUGGAAUCUAUUUGUUGUCAAAAUUCCGAUUUAAAUCGUAAAAUUCAGGAUUUUGCGACUUUAUUCACUUUCAGUGACUCAAAUCCAUAGCAAAAUUCUCAAAUAGGCAAAAUUCUAGUAAAAUCACAUCAAAAUCGUAAAAUCCAUACAAAAUCGAAGGAUUUUAAAGGGUUUGAAGGAUUUUAUCCAUUUUUGUAUAAGUAUUUUGUGGACAAUUUAUAACAUAUGUUUAACAUUAUUUUUGUUUUGGUAAAAUAUAUUGAUUUUGAUUCCUAUUUUACAAUUUCUUAUAUCAAUUUUACAAAAGUAGUUGAGUAAAAUCCUUCGAUUUUGAUAGCGAUUUUACGAUUCUCGAUUUUACUCUACCAUUUUAACUUGAAGUAAAAUCCUAAUUUUGACAACCUUGAAUCCACAGCUUUUGAAUUUUGGAAAAGUUUUAUUUAAGAAAGUAUAAUGUUAGACAAGUUUAGACCAUUUUAUCCUUGAUUCAUUUACAAAAAAUUAAUUCAUUGAAUGCAUGCUUUGGGUUUUUGUAAGGGUACAAAAGAAAAAAUAUCAUUAAUCCAAAAAAAUAUUAAGACUUGAUGAUGAUAUCAUUUGUUUAUUUGAAUUUGUGUAGGAAUGUGGUGACUGCCAAAUAGUCAUACCUUCUCAGGAUGUUGAUAUUAACAUCAAUGAUGAUCAAGGUGAUGAAGACUCUUUAGAUCAAUUAUAUUUUCUUUAGUUACCUCAUCACUCACCCUUUUCAUUUUGAACUUUAACUCUCUUCUCUCACACCAUUUGUUCAGUUUCUGUAAAUGAUGAUGCUGUCAUAAAAGUAAAGGAACAAUUAUCUAAGGAUGUUGAAUUUAAAGUUCCAGAAUCUAUCAUUCCUUUGCCUCAAGAAUUUCAAACUCCUUCAAUGCUAUCCGGAGGUAUAGAUUUUCUCCCUUAUCUUAAAAACUUAAUUUUGUGCUAAAAAUAGGAUUAAUUAUUCUUUCCUUUACUUUCAGGAGACCCUUCUCAAAAUGUAGAAGAUUUAAGUUCUUCUUUGUUUGUCAAGAGUGAGCUUGAGCAACUAGUCUCCAAGAAUCAUUUGGAUUAUGAGAACUUAUCUCUAUUGACAGGUUUCCUUGUUAAAAAUCCUUCUGUUCGUUUAAAAGACAAUUCACUGCGUAAUAGAUUCAAGGGUUGUGCUUACAACUUAUUGGCAGAGCUAUUGAAAUUCCUUGAAACUCAUAGUGUCUUGGAUGUAUUAGGCUCAUGCCACUCUGAAUUUGUGGAUCUACUACUAGAUGCGCGCAACUUUGGUUUUGAUAAGGAUUGGUUGGAUAGUGUCGAAAGGCGGGCUAUGUUUCCUGAUAUACAAAUAUCUCAAGACGCCAUGCAAAAAUUAUUGGAUUCCAAGCAACAAAUUACCAAGGAAGUUGAAGUGUUGCAUUUAAAGAUAGAGAUUUUAAGUCAACAUGUGGAAGAUCUUAAGCAUCAAUUGACAUCCUCUAAAGCUGUUUUGAAGAAUAUAAUUCAACAAGAGGCGGUUUUAAGUGCACCUAUUGGUUAUUAGACUAUAUUUUCAAGUACUUUUAUUUCAUCAUUGCUGCUUUGUUAUGCUUUUCAUUGUGGGAACCUUUGUUCUUCAAUAUUUUUUAAUAAGGUUUUGAUUGGAUGGUGUCAAAAAGUGCGCUUUGUUUCUUGAUUUCCAGGUUUUGACUCUACAGGUGAGGAGUCUUCCGCCUAAUUCUACCCAAAGCCCCAAUCUCUUCCCGUAACCAAGAGACUUCAUCCUAAUAGUGUUUCCCAAGGUGAAUCAAUCCUCAAACCCUAGUGUUUGUUCCCAAGAGACAAACUCUAGUUUUGUUGUUGCCUUUCUAAACCCUUGUUUCAGCCCCCUCUAUCUCAAGGUUUACUCUGAUACAACGCAUAUAUUUAUAGUAAAAGAAUCCUCAAUAAAACUGGAACAAAUCUAGGCCCGAAAAUACGUUUCUGUUUUAUUUUCUGCUGUCAAAAUCGGCCACCGAAUGCUCCAAAUCGGUCGCUGAUUUUUGCCGAACCAAUAAACAAAAAACCAGAGUGCAAAAUCGGCCACCGAUUUUCUACUUCCAGAAUUCCAAUUUCUUCAAUUUUGAGGCACUUUCACAACAAUCUCCACCUUGACUUUAAAUUAAUGAUGAUGCCAAACCAUCAACCACCAUGCUGCUCUUUCCCUUGCUUCCCACUACACCAAGUAGCUCCACAAGUUUACACCUUAAUCCCUUCAGCCAUCGGAAUGUCUUCCUCCUUCUCAAAGGUCCUUGCAGUCCAACUACACUAGAAAUUUUAGGUAGUUCCACAAGCAUUCACCUUAACCUCUUCAGCCAUCGGAACGUCUUCCGUCUUCUCGAAGAAUCCUUGCAGUCCAACUACAUUAGGUGUUUUAGGUAGUUUCACAAGCAUUCACCAUAACCUCUUCAACACAUGACAUCUUCCGCUUCCUUGAAAGUCUCCUUGCUUCCAAUCACCCUUGGCCUUUUUUUAGGGUAAUCCCGCAAGUUGCGCUAUACAUUCUUCAACCUCCGGAAUGCCUUUCGUCUUCAUGAAGAAAUCCCUUGCUCGCCAUAGAGCAUAGCACCCAAGGUCAUCCAUAGUCGUACCAUUACCGGUGUGUUCAACUCCACCUCAAGCUGAGCGUACUCUACCUCAACUAGCAAAUGCGUACAUCCCACUAUGUCUUCAACCUUGAAACUCCACCUCAACAGGUAGAUCAUGAGUAUUAUAGAUUUGUCAUGACCCACCUCAAUUUAGUAACAAGGGUCUUCAAACUAAAUCAUGACCGUCGGUGGGUUUUCUUUAGACUUGGAAUUAUAUUACAAAUGUGAAAGUGAGACCAAUAAUUGAAUUGCUUUAUAUCAACAAUGAUGACUAGCUAGCUGUAAAGAUUGUCAAUAAUGGAAACAUCACUUUAUACUAAAGUGUUGAACAAGAUUAAAACAAGAUAUUGAAAUUAUUGUUUAGAUGUGUCUAGAAAGCGACCUGAAUCUUGCAACUCAAUGCAGUCGAUCAGAUCAGUGCAAGCUUGAGGAAUUACAAUUGUGGAAACUCAGCUCACCUCGACUAAUUUCAGUUUCCAUAAUCCACUCACCCAUUAACAAAAAAGAUUUAUCCUUAGCCAAUAAAAUUGUGCAAUUGAACGAUUCGUGGAAAAUUAUUCAUCAACGCAUCAUAUUUUGAGUGAUGAAAGGUGGAUUUCUCGGAUCUCAUCAUAAGAUCCCUCAUCAUAAUACCCCCACAAAAAAUUAUAAGAAAAAUUAUUCAUCGACACAUCAUAUUGAGAAAUUACAAAAACUUGUGUGUUUCAUUCCAUUGGAUAUAUCUAAAAUUGAGGGAAUGAAAAAAAAUAAAUGGUAUUAGAUGGAACGGAUUUCAUCAUGCUCCAUUUUAUUUCUGUCAUUUCUUUUACAAAAUCAAUCAAUGGAAUAUGAUUUUACCCCGCUCCGCUCCACCAUUUUCCAUUGAUACAAGUCUUAGGUUUUAUUAUGAGUUUAAAGGGGAAAAGAGAGCUUUGAAAAAAAUUAUAAGUUGUUUUAAGAAAGAAAAAAAUUGUCAUAAAUUAUAAAUCACUUUACAAUAUCAAUAAAAUAUGGGAAAUGCUAACUGGUGCCCCCAAGACACUGGUUAAGGAUAUGAAAAAAGAAAUUAAAUAGUAGUUAAUGCAUUGAAAUUGUAUAAUUAAUUUAUAAUAAAGUCAAAAGCAGAUUCCUUUUAUGGUAAUAAUUCCCUUUUAUGGUAUACUUAAACAGUGCUCUGAAGACACCGGUUAGCCCAUAAAAUAUUAAAAGUCAUUUUGAGAAAGAAAAGAUUUAAUUUGCAUACACGACAAUGUAAGUUCCUAAAAUAUCUUUGGAAAUACGUUUUAUGAUUUGAUUUGUUGAACAUCCUACCUUAGAUGACUAAAUCUAUAUGUUGAUCUUAUAUUUAUAUUUUAAAAAGAUUAAAAGAUAAACAUGAUAUAUCAUGUUGUAAUUGUACAGACCUUCCGGAUAUGUAAAUUUAGGGUGCGUUUGUUUCAAGUUAUAUUCGUAUAUUCUUAGGAAUAAAAAGAUAGAAAUAUACAUGCUUAUGUUUGUUACAAGAUUAGUAAAUUUUAUUUUCGGAUAUAAAACGUUCUUGGGAAUAGAAAUAUAUUAUCAAAAUAUAGAUUUGUCAUGACCCACCACAAUUUAGUAACAAGAGUCUUCAAACUAAAUCAUGACCGUCGGUGGGUUUUCUUUAGACUUGGAAUUAUAUUACAAAUGUGAAAGUGAGACCAAUAAUUGAAUUGCUUUAUAUCAACAAUGAUGACUAGCUAGCUGUAAAGAUUGUCAAUAAUGGAAACAUCACUUUAUACUACAGUGUUGAACAAGAUACAAACAAAAUAUUGAAAUUCUUGUUCUCAUCGUGGGUUAUUGUUUAGAUGUGUCUAGAAAGCGACCUGAAUCUUGCUUGCAACUCAAUGCAGUCGAUCAGAUCAGUCCAAGCUUUCAUAGUUGAGGUUUUCAGUUUCCAUAAUCCACUCACCCAUUAACAAAAAAGAUUUAUCCACCACACUUUAGCUAGCUACCACACUUUUAACUCAAGUUUUCUAAAAUUGUUGGAAAGAUUGUCUAGUUGUUGAACCAAAAUUAAGCCUCCAAAGUAUAUUUCUACAGCAGAGUUGCUCAUACGGCUUGAACAUUUGCUGAAAGUGUGCUGGAGUUAAGGUAACCAACAAACAAUCAUGCUUUAACAAUUUUCAGUCGAUAUUUUAAUUAAUUGUUUACAGUGACCAAGUUCUAGAUUUCAUACGAUUAUUACAAGGGUUUAUAAAUCAACUUGAGUUUUAUGCUUUCUAUUAUCUUUUAGACAAACUCUAAAACAAAACUCUAACACUUAUAUUAAUAUUUAACCAUCGUAAACAAAAAAAUAAUUCAAUAAACCAAAGUAUUCAAAAUUGUCUUUAAUGAGAAUCUUUUACAAAUGAAUUGUUUGCACUAUCUUUAAAGAUUCUUGUGAUUCUAGGUACUGCAGACCGGAGAAGGAUGAGGAAGAUUGUUCAUGAGACUUGAGUAUGCGUUGAAUGUGCCGAAAAUACUGUGUUGGAAAGAUCAGGUAAAUAUCAAUUUCAUUUUGCUUCAUCAUUCAUUCAAAUAUAAAGUAGGUUUUCUGAAAUUGUUGGAAAGAUUGUCUAGUUGUUGAACCAAAGUAUAUUUCUACAGCAGAGUUUCAAUGAACGCUUGAACAUUUGCUGAAAGUGCUGGAGAUAAGGUAACCAACAAACAAUCAUACUUUAACAAUUUUCAGUCUAUUUUAAUUAAUUGUUUACAAAGGUUUAUAAAUCAACUAGAGAAACCAACUCGAGUUGAUAAGGUAGAAUCAAACAUAGUCUAUAAGGAAUUUUUUGCAGUGAAUAUUACUCCUAAUUCUCUAAAUUCUAGCUGCUGCCUGCUGUCGAGAAAGAAAAAUAUUGUUAAAAAGUACGUCCUUACAACAGUAACACAAUUGAGGUAGAAAAUAAUCUCAUGGUUGUUUUUCUUUUAUCACUUCCUCAGAUUUUCUAUUUGUAUAUGAUUUCCAAUUUUGGUCUUCACUCUACUUUUCUACAUGGUCCUUUUUUCAUGACUUGUUUAUCAUUUUCAAAGAUAAAUUGGGUAUUCAGAGAUUGGCUUAAAGGAUCUUAAACUUUAAUAUUGGAUGAACUCCCAUUUGAACUUUCUCAAAUAUUUGUUUGAACAAGCUAAGAAAAUUCUUUGAUGAAAAGUGUGUCAUCAACUAUCAUUUUUCAAAUUAACAGACCCUGAAUGAAGAAAAUCUUCUUACAAUAAAAGAACAUGAAUGAUAUGCUAUGAGAAUGAGAUUCAUUAUCAACCAUUGUAUUUUUCAACAUACACAAACAUAUGUCUAACUUUGAUGUAUUGAAAUUCAUUUAGAUGGCGAGUUUUCUAACUGAUUUGGCGAAGACCUAUGUGGAGAAAUUGAUAAAUGGGGUGAUCGCAGAGUCAAGUUAUAUAUGUUGCUUCACGUGCAUUGCUAAUGAUUUUGAAGAAGAAAGAUCUAGAUUGGAAACAGAAAACACAACUGUCAAGCAACGUGUUGAUGUGGCAACCAGUAGAGGAGAAGUUAUUCAAGCUAAUGCUCUUUUUUGGGAAAAAGAAGCUGAUGAGCUCAUUCAAGAAGACACCAAAACAAAACAAAAAUGUCUUUUUGGAUUUUGUCCUCAUAUCAUAUGGCGAUAUAAAAAGGGAAAGGAACUGACAAAUAAGAAGGAGCAAAUUAAAAGAUUGAUUGAAAAUGGAAAGGAUCUUGUAAUUGGACUCCCUGCUCCUCUUCCAGAUGUUGAACGUUAUUCAUCCAGAGACUAUAUUUCUUUUGAAAGUAGAAAAUCCAAAUACAAAGAGCUUUUUGAUGCUCUGAAAGAUGACAACAGUUAUAUAACCGGGUUGCAAGGGAUGGGGGGCACAGGAAAAACUACAUUGGCCAAAAAAGUGGGGAAGGAACUUAAGCAAUGCAAACAAUUUACUAACGUCAUCGAUACAACAGUGUCAUUGUCUCCUGAUAUCAGAAAGAUUCAAGAUGAUAUCGCUGGACCCUUGGGAUUGAAAUUUGACGACUGUAGUGAAUCAGACCGACCCAAAAAACUAUGGAGCAGAUUAACCAAUGAAGGUAAGAUUGAUCAGAACGAGGAAAAGAAGAUUCUUCUAAUAUUUGAUGAUGUGUGGGAUGAUAUCGAUUUUGAUAAAAUAGGGAUUCCUGACAAUCACAAAGACUGUAGAAUUCUUGUAACCACACGCAGUCUCUCUGUCUGCCACAGAUUAGGAUGCAAUAAGAAAAUCCAACUGGAGGUCUUAUCUGAUGAAGAAGCAUGGACCAUGUUCCAAACGCAUGCUGGUCUAAAAGAAAUGUCAC